rnacentral:lncRNA from 12 species
AUGGAGGUUACGUGUCAGGGAGAGCUUCCCUGUGUGGCGGUGCUGCCUUCCACGGCCCUUCUCUGGGCCUCCCUCUGGAGGGGACGGCAAGGAGACAUGAAACAUGGCCUCGGAGACCUUGCCUUGCAAUCAGAAGACCGGGGCUCCCCCGGGAGCUCCAUGGAACGAACUCAUCCUGGCUGCAAACAGUUCUCUCCUCAAGGCAUUUCUCCCAUACAACCCAGGAACAAGCCGAGCGUGCAUUUCUCGGGAAUUUGCACAAAAGGGUGUGUUUAUGCUGGAGGAAUACUUUAA